GUUUAAAUGACCAAUGAGCAUGGCUAUUUGGGUUGAUUGGCAGUUGCCAUUCUUUAGAAUUAUUGUUUUGAUUGACAGGCAGGCCGUUGUCAAGGAGAAGGGCGAGUCUCGCGGCGUCUCCAGGGGAAGCCCCCUCCCUGCUGCAUUACUUUCAACAGCUUCAUCACUGCGAUGGGUUAUUUAAUUUUGGUACACUUUCCCCACAAAUAUGCUUUGUUGUACUUUUGGAUGUACUUCUCCGUAUUCUGUAAGGACCUCUGCGGUUUUGGCAAAACAACAAACCACACUUCACCUGGAAAACAGAGCCAGGACUCACUGUCAGAUGUCUGAAAAUGUACAGUACACGCCAGCAGGUCUCACCAUAGUCAACAUCAUUAAGGAUUUGGCUCUCUGACCUGAGAAGAGGCCCCAUAAACACACCUGACAAGGACCAGCCACUGUUGCCAGUGCACAACUGAGGA